ensembl:snoRNA
ACCCUCCUGGUGCUUACCACAGGCUGUGUUCUUGUCGCUGACUGUAUAGAAAAAGGAGGCAGAGCGAAAAACCCCAUAUACACCUCAGCCCAGGCUCCUUGCCCGGUCUGCAUUGUGAAUGGGGGAACAUGU